rnacentral:rRNA from 1 species
GUAGGGAAUAUUGGGCAAUGGGCGCAAGCCUGACCCAGCCAUGCCGCGUGCAGGAUGACGGCCCUAUGGGUUGUAAACUGCUUUUGUGCGAGAAAAAACCCCCGGUCGUGAAUCGGGGUUGAUGGUAUCGUUCGAAUAAGCAUCGGCUAACUCCGUGCCAGCAGCCGCGGUAAUACGGAGGAUGCAAGCGUUAUCCGGAUUUAUUGGGUUUAAAGGGUGCGCAGGCGGAUUCUUAAGUCAGUGGUGAAAUCCUACAGCUUAACUGUAGAACUGCCAUUGAUACUGGGAGUCUUGAAUUUAGUUGAAGUGGCUGGCAUGUGUCAUGUAGCGGUGAAAUGCAUAGAGAUGACACAGAACACCGAUAGCGAAGGCAGGUCACUAAGCUAAUAUUGACGCUCAUGCACGAAAGCGUGGGGAUCAAACAGGAUUAGAUACCCGAGUAGUCC